AGAAGUCUGUGGUGUACGAGUCAGCGAGCCAAUUAUGUCUAAACCCUAGGUCUGAACCCGGGGUUCGUCCCUGUCCGCGGUGUGCAAGCCUGCCCUGGCAGCAGGAAGCCUAAAGCGGAUACCUCGAAGCCCACCUGCGAGGGAUGUGGGUUUAGAUCCGGCUCUUCUGGACGUCGC
rnacentral:other from 1 species